rnacentral:rRNA from 1 species
ACCUACGGGACGCAGCAGUGGGGAAUAUUGCACAAUGGGGGGAACCCUGAUGCAGCAAUGCCGCGUGGGUGAAGAAGCACUCCGGUGCGUAAAGCCCUGUCAGCAGGGAAGAAAAUGACAGUACCUGGACAAGAAGCCCCGGCUAACUACGUGCCAGCAGCCGCGGUAAUACGUAGGGGGCAAGCGUUAUCCGGAUUUACCGGGUGUAAAGGGCGUGUAGGCGGGCAUGCAAGCCAGAAGUGAAAUCUGGGGGCUUAACCCCCAAACUGCUUUUGGAACUGCGUGUCUUGAGUGAUGGAGAGGCA